rnacentral:rRNA from 1 species
UGGGGAAUAUUGGACAAUGGAGGAAACUCUGAUCCAGCAAUUCUGUGUGUGUGAAGAAGGUUUUAGGACUGUAAAACACUUUUAGUAGGGAAGAAAAAAAUGACGGUACCUACAGAAGAAGCAACGGCUAAAUACGUGCCAGCAGCCGCGGUAAUACGUAUGUUGCGAGCGUUAUCCGGAAUUAUUGGGCUUAAAGGGCAUCUAGGCGGUAAGACAAGUUGAAGGUGAAAACCUGUGGCUCAACCAUAGGCUUGCCUACAAAACUGUUGAACUGGAGUACUGGAAAGGUGGGUGGAACUACACGAGUAGAGGUGAAAUUCGUAGAUAUGUGUAGGAAUGCCGAUGAGGAAGAUAACUCACUGGACAGAAACUGACGCUGAAGUGCGAAAGCUAGGGGGGCAAACAGG